UACGAAGGGGGCGAGCGUUGUUCGGAGUUACUGGGCGUAAAGGGCGCGUAGGCGGCGAUCCAAGUUAGGCGUGAAAGCCCCGGGCUUAACCUGGGAAUUGCGCUUAAGACUGGACUGCUUGAGUGCGGGAGAGGUGAGUGGAAUUCCCAGUGUAGAGGUGAAAUUCGUAGAUAUUGGGAAGAACACCAGUGGCGAAGGCGACUACCUGGCCUGUUCUUGACGCUGAGGCGCGAAAGCUAGGGGAGCAAACGGG
rnacentral:rRNA from 1 species